rnacentral:rRNA from 1 species
GACGAACGCUGGCGGCGUGCCUAAUACAUGCAAGUAGAACGCACAGUUUAUACCGUAGCUUGCUACACCAUAGACUGUGAGUUGCGAACGGGUGAGUAACGCGUAGGUAACCUGCCUGGUAGCGGGGGAUAACUAUUGGAAACGAUAGCUAAUACCGCAUAAUAUUGAUUAUUGCAUGAUAAUUGAUUGAAAGAUGCUAUUGCAUCACUACCAGAUGGACCUGCGUUGUAUUAGCUAGUAGGUGAGGUAACGGCUCACCUAGGCGACGAUACAUAGCCGACCUGAGAGGGUGAUCGGCCACACUGGGACUGAGACACGGCCCAGACUCCUACGGGAGGCAGCAGUAGGGAAUCUUCGGCAAUAGACGAAGGUCUGACCGAGCAACGCCGCGUGAGUGAAGAAGGUUUUCGGAUCGUAAAGCUCUGUUGUAAGAGAAGAACGGGUGUGAGAGUGGAAAGUUCACACUGUGACGGUAUCUUACCAGAAAGGGACGGCUAACUACGUG